UGCAGCCGCGGUAAUUCCAGCUCCAAUAGCGUAUAUUAAAGUUGUUGCAGUUAAAAAGCUCGUAGUUGAAUUUCGAGAUCAGUACGCUGGUCGUGCCUUCGGUAUGCACUGGUGUCACUGGUUUCUCCCUUCUGAAGAACCGUCAUGUCAUUAAGUUGGUGUGGCGGGGAAUCAGGACUGUUACUUUGAAAAAAUUAGAGUGUUUAAAGCAGGCUCGCGCUUGAAUACAUUAGCAUGGAAUAAUGAAAUAGGACGUUUGACCCUAUUUUGUUGGUUUCUAGGAUCGACGUAAUGAUUAAUAGGGAUAGUUGGGGGCAUUAGUAUUCAAUUGUCAGAGGUGAAAUUCUUGGAUUUAUUGAAGACUAACUACUGCGAAAGCAUUUGCCAAGGAUGUUUUCAUUAAUCAAGAACGAAAGUUAGGGGAUCGAAGACGACCAGAUACCGUCGUAGUCUUAACCAUAAACUAUGCCGACUAGGG
rnacentral:rRNA from 1 species